CAACUCACCAGCCGAAUUAACCAGACCCUGAAAAUUGAUGGCGCUAAGCGUGAUACCGAUACUCAACCAUCAUGGCAAAUAGAAGCUAGUGAUGAGUAAGAGGGCGUGAAGACUGUGUAGAAGGCUUGGAUGUGAAUCUGGUUGGAACAGUCUUUAGUGCAGAUCUUGGUGGUAGUAGCAAAUAUUCAAAUGAGAACUUUGAAGACCGAAGUGGAGAAGGGUUCCAUGAGAACAGCAUUUGGUCAUGGGUUACUCGAUCCUAAGACAUAGGGAAAUUCCUUGUAAUACAUUUGUACUUACGUACAUGUAGUCAAAAGGGAAUGAGGUUCAUAUUCCUCAAGCUGGAUGUGGGAGCUAUGUGGUAACACAAACAAGCUCGGAGACAUCGGUAUGUGCAACUGGAAGAGUUCUCUUUUCUUCUUAACAGUCUAUCUCCCUGAAAGGAUUAUCCAGAG
rnacentral:rRNA from 1 species